UCUAAUUUCUAGAGCUUUCUCUCUUCUCUCUCUUAGAUUCAUACAGCAGCAUUAAAUACCAUUAGGGUUCUUCAAUAAUAGGCAUUUCAAUCUAUUGGAAGGUAUAAUUUAAGACAAAUUAAGGAGGACAACCUUUACGUUGAAGAAUUCAAGUCUUAGCAAUUUGUAGUUAUGUCCAGCAAGGAAAGCUACUGCAAUUUUCUCCCUCUUGUGCUUGAGUUAAUUAGGACACUCGGUACAAGUACUAAAGUAGUUGAUUUUCCCAAUAGAAGCACAUUAUACUCAGCGGAUGUUGGUGCAGGUCCGAGAGAUGAUUGAUGAUUCGUUGAAGCGGUUUGGAUUAGCGAUCUCCAGACUUUGGUAGGUCCUCUUGAGUUUGAGGAUGUCUACGUUUAUUAUUCUAGCUUUAGUACAUUAGACAUAGCUAGUGGAUGUUUUCCCUAGCGUUUCAUUUCAAGCGUUUGUAUUAAUGUUGUUUGGAAAACUAUUAUUAUAUUAUGAAUUCUUCAUUUCAAUUGUUUAAUCUAUUAUAGAUGGUUGUUUAGUUUGAGUCGUAGCAUAUCACUCUUAUGCAGUAAUUACAUGAAGUCUAAGUAUACUUCAUUAAGUUUUAAAUAGUUUUAAAUUUUCCACAAAUUUAAUUGUAUGAUUGUGAUGAAAGCUAAGAAAAGGUUUGUCUGCGAUCUCUGAGAGGUUAACAACACCAGUCGCGUUCGGAUUGCAGAAUCCGGGUGUGACUGGAAGGACAAAGAAGAAGUGGAUCCAAGAUCAAGUUUUAUCCUUCCAAGAUUGGUGAACCAAAUAAAUGAGUUGGAGCAAGAAUCAUGUAAUAGACAUGUUCGUAUUAACAACUUGAGGAACUCUAAUUAGUUAUUAGAGAGGAGACUCAAUAGAAGGUUGAAAUGGUGUAGGUUCAAUAGGAAGA